AGAGUUUGAUCCUGGCUCAGAGUGAACGCUGGCGGUAGGCCUAACACAUGCAAGUCGAACGGUAGCACAGAGGAGCUUGCUCCUUGGGUGACGAGUGGCGGACGGGUGAGGAAUGCAUCGGAAUCUACUCUUUCGUGGGGGAUAACGUAGGGAAACUUACGCUAAUACCGCAUACGACCUACGGGUGAAAGCAGGGGACCUUCUAGGCCUUGCGCGAUUGAAUGAGCCGAUGUCCGAUUAGCUGGUUGGCGGGGUAAUGGCCCACCAAGGCGACGAUCGGUAGCUGGUCUGAGUGGAUGAUCAGCCACACUGGAACUGAGACACGGUCCAGACUCCUACGGGAGGCAGCAGUGGGGAAUAUUGGACAAUGGGCGCAAGCCUGAUCCAGCCAUACCGCGUGGGUGAAGAAGGCCUUCGGGUUGUAAAGCCCUUUUGUUGGGAAAGAUAAUGACGGUACUAUAUGAAUAAGCACCGGCUAACUCCGUGCCAGCAGCCGCGGUAAUACGGAGGGUGCAAGCGUUACUCGGAAUCACUGGGCGUAAAGGGUGCGUAGGCUGACUUUUAAGUCAGGCGUGAAAUCCAAUGGCUUAACCAUUGAACUGCGCUUGAAACUGGGAGUCUAGAGUUCAGAAGGGGCAGAUGGAAUUAGUGGUGUAGGGGUAAAAUCCGUAGAUAUCACUAGGAAUAUCAAAAGCGAAGGCGAUCUGCUGGGAUGAUACUGACGCUGAGGCACGAAAGCGUGGGGAGCAAACAGGAUUAGAUACCCUGGUAGUCCACGCCCUAAACGAUGCGAACUGGAUGUUGGGUGCACUUUGGCACGCAGUAUCGAAGCUAACGCGUUAAGUUCGCCGCCUGGGGAGUACGGUCGCAAGACUGAAACUCAAAGGAAUAGACGGGGACCCGCACAAGUGGUGGAGCAUGUGGUUUAAUUCGAAGAUACACGAAGAACCUUACCUGGCCUCGACAUGGUAGGAACCCUGUAGAGAUACGGGGGUGCUAGCUUGCUAGAACCUACACACAGGUGCUGCACGGCUGUCGUCAGCUCGUGUCGUGAGAUGUUGGGUUAAGUCCCGCAACGAGCGCAACCCUCGUCCUUAGUUGCUAACAGUUCGGCUGAGCACUCUAAGGAGACUGCCUUCGCAAGGAGGAGGAAGGUGAGGACGACGUCAAGUCAUCAUGGCCCUUACGGCCAGGGCUACACACGUGCUACAAUGGGGCGUACAGAGAGCUGCGAUACCGCGAGGUGGAGCCAAUCUCUUAAAGCGUCUCUCAGUUCGGAUUGUUCUCUGCAACUCGAGAACAUGAAGCUGGAAUCACUAGUAAUCGCAGAUCAGCUAUGCUGCGGUGAAUACGUUCCCGGGUCUUGUACUCACCGCCCGUCACACCAUGGGAGUUGAUUUCACCCGAAAUCGGGAUGCCAAACUGGCUACCGCUUACGGUGGAAUUAGCGACUGGGGUGAAGUCGUAACAUGUAACCGUAAAUCACUAGUGAAUUCGCGGCCGCCUGCAGGUCGACCAUAUGGGAGAGCUCCCCAA
rnacentral:rRNA from 1 species